UACGAAGGGGGCUAGGCGUUGCUCGGAAUCACUGGGCGUAAAGGGCGCGUAGGCGGCCAUUCAAGUCGGAGGUGAAAGCCCAGGGCUCAAACCCCUGGGAAUUGCCUUCGAUACUGUUUGGCUAGAGACCGGAAGAGGUAAGUGGAACAGCUAGUGUAGAGGUGAAAUUGUAGAUAUUAGCUAGAACACCAGUGGCGAAGGCGGCCAACUGGUCCGACACUGACGCUGAGGUGCGGAAAGCGUGGGGAGCGAACGA
rnacentral:rRNA from 1 species